UACGUAGGUGGCAAGCGUUGUCCGGAUUUACUGGGCGUAAAGAGCGCGCAGGCGGCCAAGUCAGUCGAAUGUGAAAGCCCCCGGCUUAACUGGGGAGGGUCAUUCGAUACUGCUUGGCUCGAAGACAGGAGAGGGAAGCGGAAUUCCCGGUGUAGUGGUGAAAUGCGUAGAGAUCGGGAGGAACACCUGUGGCGAAGGCGGCCGUCUGGGCCGACCCUGACGCUGAGGCGCGAAGGCGUGGGGAGCGAACGGG
rnacentral:rRNA from 1 species